GACGAACCGUGCGAACGUUAUUCGGAAUCACUGGGCUUAAAGCGCGUGUAGGCGGGAAGGCACGUCGGUCGCUGAAAUCCCCCGGCUCAACCGGGGAAGUGGCGCCGAUACGACCUUCCUGGAGGGACGUAGGGGGACCUGGAACUUCCGGUGGAGCGGUGAAAUGCGUAGAGAUCGGAAAGAACACCAACGGCGAAAGCACUCUGCUGGGCCGACACUGACACUGAGAGACGAAAGCUAGGGGAGCGAAUGGG
rnacentral:rRNA from 1 species